rnacentral:rRNA from 1 species
AGUGUAGGCGGUUUGGUAAGUCUCAUGUGAAAUUUCCAGGCUCAACUUGGAAACUGCAUGGGAAACUGCCGGGCUUGAGUAUGGGAGAGGUGAGUGGAAUUCCUGGUGUAGCGGUGAAAUGCGUAGAUAUCAGGAGGAACACCUGUGGCGAAAGCGGCUCACUGGACCAUAACUGACGCUGAUGCUCGAAAGCUAGGGGAGCAAACAGGAUUAGAUACCCUGGUAGUCCUAGCCCUAAACGAUGACUGCUUGGUGUGACGGGUACCCAAUCCCGCCGUGCCGUAGCUAACGCGUUAAGCAGUCCGCCUGGGGAGUACGGUCGCAAGGCUGAA